rnacentral:lncRNA from 1 species
GGAAGCAGGGUCUUUUGCCUCGGUUGGUUAGAGAACCGAGGUAGUAUACACGUUAGGCAUCAAUUCCAAUUGAAUCAAGGCAUAUAAUUUCGCAAAAACUACAAAAUUGCCACCGCGUUUUGAUACACUUUGGUUUUUUUGAAACUGAAAUGUAAUGUGCGAGUUAAAAAGCUAUUUAUUUACUAGUAAAUUGUUGCCAAUUACACUACAGGAAGAGGUAUAUUGAAUCACCA